rnacentral:rRNA from 1 species
UGAACGCUGGCGGCGUGCCUAAUACAUGCACGUCGAGCGAACAGACGAGGAGCUUGCUCCUCUGACGUUAGCGGCGGACGGGUGAGUAACACGUGGAUAACCUACCUAUAAGACUGGGAUAACUUCGGGAAACCGGAGCUAAUACCGGAUAAUAUAUUGAACCGCAUGGUUCAAUAGUGAAAGACGGUUUUGCUGUCACUUAUAGAUGGAUCCGCGCCGCAUUAGCUAGUUGGUAAGGUAACGGCUUACCAAGGCAACGAUGCGUAGCCGACCUGAGAGGGUGAUCGGCCACACUGGAACUGAGACACGGUCCAGACUCCUACGGGAGGCAGCAGUAGGGAAUCUUCCGCAAAGGGCGAAAGCCUGACGGAGCAACGCCGCGUGAGUGAUGAAGGUCUUCGGAUCGUAAAACUCUGUUAUUAGGGAAGAACAAAUGUGUAAGUAACUAUGCACGUCUUGACGGUACCUAAUCAGAAAGCCACGGCUAACUACGUG